GGAGAGGUGGCAGAGCGGCUGAAUGCAGCGGUCUUGAAAACCGCCGUGCCGAGAGGCACCGGGGGUUCGAAUCCCCCCCUCUCCGCCA
rnacentral:tRNA from 1 species